AGAGGUUUGUAAAAAUAUCAAAUUUAUAUUAAUUUAAAAACGUUUCUGAUUAUUAAAAAUGUAAUAGUAAUUUUAGGCUUAAAUAUAAAUUACUAUCCUAAAUUAUGGGUUAUGUUUCACUUCGAUGAUUCACCUUUUAAUUUUGUCAAUUAGAUUAGAUGAUUAAACUAUUAAUUUUUUUUACUUUCAUUCAAUUAAGCAUGCCACGUCACCGAUUGAUAACGUGACUCUCUAAGUAGGCCAUAGUGCAGCUGAUGUGUUAAAAAAAAAUAUUUUAAUAUUUAUUUACACAUUUAUUAUAUAUCCAAGGGCAAAUUAGCCAACUCACUUCAUAUUAAACAUUAAAACUAAAUAAAAACAAUAAACACACUGAUCUUUCAACUUCAUCUUCAUCAUUCACGGAAACAAUAUCCAUUCUCUCCCAACAAUUAUCUCUCAUCUUUUUCCCUUCUCAAAUCGAUUUGGCGUCACCUACCGGAGGAAUCUAAUGACUCGAUUUCCGGUGGAUGAACUCAAUCUCCGUCACUAUUGUAGUCGAGUCCGAACCUGAAAGUGAAACUGCCGGCAGUGCAGCCAAAGAUAAAGGUAGAGGAGGUGGCGUCGCCAAAGGAGAGACAUCACUGAGGUGUUAAGUGGCGGAGAUUAGAGAUCCGGCAAAGAACGGGCAUGUGUUUCACAUCCAUGGAACUGGAUAUCGUAGAAUAAAUCAGAUUAAAGCCCCAAAAAAAACCUAGGUCUCAACAUCAAUGGCAUCUGAAAUUCACCGGCAAUCAACUCUCCAGCUUGAACAACAUCAAUGGCAUCUCUCCUUCUGCAACCUAGUUCAGUCACUCACGGGCGGGCUGCGGCUCAGCCUUUUCAGUUCAACAAUAACUCAGUUUCCUAAACCAAACAAGACUACAAUUUAGACCUAGGUUUUUUUGGGGCUUUAAUCAAUUUGUUCGAAGAAGUUGGGGCUUUGAUUGAUUUGUGAUUGUUUUAGACUUGUGUUGUUUUUAUUUAGUUUUAAUGUUUAAUAUAAAGUGAGUUGGCUAAUUUGCCCUUGGAUGUAUAAUAAAUGUGUAAAUAAAUAUUAAAAUAUUAUUUUUUUGAACACAUCAGUUGCACUAUGGCCUACUUAGAGAGCCACAUCAUCAAUUGGUGACGUGGCAUUCUCAAUUUAAUGGAAG
rnacentral:lncRNA from 1 species